GUCGCUUUAGCUCACUUGGGAGAGCGCCAGACUGAAGUUCACUUCAAGUCGACGCUACUGUGCGGUAUCUGGAGGUACUGUGUUCGAUCCACAGAAGCGACA
rnacentral:tRNA from 1 species